CUCGCUCAUCAUCUCUCUCUCUCGCUCGAUCAGCCGUCGCCGCGGAAUUCGCUGGAGGAGCAGCGGCGAUAGGCCGCGCCACCCUCGGCUCUCCCUUCACUCACCGAAACCCGGCGCCCCUGUAACGCCUCGAGCUCCACCAUCUGCGACCGGUUCAGCGGGUACAGCGCCACCCCGAAGAGCGCCCGCAGCCGCCUGCACCGCCCCGGCCGCCAUCUCCCUCCGGCGAACUGACAGUGGUAAGCCGCCGUCCGUUUCAGAACCCAGACCCCAAAUCGUAGCUAUGGCUGGCGCUGCUCGCCACCGGGAAGACCUCGGAGACACCGGAAUCAGCGACUCCAGCAGCAGCACGCACGCCCACCCCUCUUCUCCUUCGGCCACCGCGACCAGCCACCAGGUGUCGCCACCCUCGACUCCCUCGCCUUUCUCUCUGGAUCGACGGGCAGCCUAAGAUCGGAGACAACGGCAGGUUCACCGCCGCCGCUCCGUCGCCGGCGACGAGCCACCGCGGCUGCCGCCUCCCUCUGAUUUCGACUCACACACACAGUAGGUUCAAGCCACAAUUUAGUUCACA